CCAAUAGCGUAUAUUAAAGUUGUUGCAGUUAAAAAGCUCGUAGUUGAAUUUCGGGAUCAAAGAAUCGGUCAUGCCUUGGUAUGUACUGGUUUUAUUGGUUCUCACCUUCUAAAGAACCAUGAUGUCAUUCAUUUGAUGUUAUGGGGAAUUAGGACUGUUACCUUGAAAAAAUUAGAGUGUUUAAAGCAAGCUUACGCUUGAAUACAUUAGCAUGGAAUAAUGAAAUAGGAAAUCAGAUUCUAUUUUGUUGGUUUCUAGGAUCGAUGUAAUGAUUAAUAGGGAUAGUUGGGGGCAUUAGUAUUCAAUUGUCAGAGGUGAAAUUCUUGGAUUUAUUGAAGACUAACUACUGCGAAAGCAUUUGCCAAGGAUGUUUUCAUUAAUCAAGAACGAAAGUUAGGGGAUCGAAGACGAUCAGAUACCGUCGUAGUCUUAACCAUAAACUAUGCCGACUAGGGAUCGGAUGAUGUUAAUUUUUUAAUGACUCAUUCGGCACCUUACG
rnacentral:misc_RNA from 1 species